rnacentral:rRNA from 1 species
GCAUAUCAAUAAGCGGAGGAAAAGAAACCAACAGGGAUUGCCCCAGUAGCGGCGAGUGAAGCGGCAAGAGCUCAGAUUUGAAAUCGUGUUUCGGCACGAGUUGUAGAGUGUAGGCGGGAGUCUCUGUGGAGCGCGGUGUCCAAGUCCCUUGGAACAGGGUGCCUGAGAGGGUGAGAGCCCCGUAGGGUGCUGCGCGAAGCUUUUGAGGCCCUGCUGACGAGUCGAGUUGUUUGGGAAUGCAGCUCCAAGCGGGUGGUAAAUUCCAUCUAAGGCUAAAUAUUGGCGAGAGACCGAUAGCGAACAAGUACUGUGAAGGAAAGAUGAAAAGCACUUUGAAAAGAGAGUGAAACAGCACGUGAAAUUGUUGAAAGGGAAGGGUAUUGGGCUCGACAUGGGGGGUGCGCACCGCUGUCUCUUGUAGGCGGCGCCCUGGGCGCCCUCUGGGCCAGCAUCGGUUCCUGCUGCGGGAGAAGGGGCUCCGGAAAGUGGCUCUUCGGAGUGUUAUAGCCGGGGCCAGAUGCCGCGUGUGGGGACCGAGGACUGCGGCUUCUGUCUCGGAUGCUAGCAUAACGGCGCAAUACCGCCCGUCUU